AGCGAACGCUGGCGGCAGGCCUAACACAUGCAAGUCGAACGAACUCUUCGGAGUUAGUGGCGGACGUGUGAGUAACACGUGGGAACGUGCCUUUAGGUUCGGAAUAACUCAGGGAAACUUGUGCUCAUACCGAAUGUGCCCUUCGGGGGUAAGAUUUAUCGCCUUUAGAGCGGCCCGCGUCUGAUUAGCUAGUUGGUGAGGUAAAGGCUCACCAAGGCGACGAUCAGUAGCUGGUCUGAGAGGAUGAUCAGCCACAUUGGAACUGAGACACGGCCCAAACUCCUACGGGAGGCAGCAGUGGGGAAUCUUGCGCAAUGGGCGAAAGCCUGACGCAGCCAUGCCGCGUGAAUGAUGAAGGUCUUAGGAUUGUAAAAUUCUUUCAGCGGGGACGAUAAUGACGGUACCCGGAGAAGAAGCCCCGGCUAACUUCGUG
rnacentral:rRNA from 1 species